rnacentral:rRNA from 1 species
ACGGAAGGCAGCAGUGGGGAAUAUUGCACAAUGGGGGAAACCCUGAUGCAGCGACGCCGCGUGAGUGAAGAAGUAUUUCGGUAUGUAAAGCUCUAUCAGCAGGGAAGAAAAUGACGGUACCUGACUAAGAAGCCCCGGCUAACUACGUGCCAGCAGCCGCGGUAAUACGUAGGGGGCAAGCGUUAUCCGGAUUUACUGGGUGUAAAGGGAGCGUAGGUGGCCAUGCAAGUCAGAUGUGAAAUCCCGGGGCUCAACCCCGGAGCUGCAUUUGAAACUGCGUAGCUAGAGUGCAGGAGAGGUAAGCGGAAUUCCUAGUGUAGCGGUGAAAUGCGUAGAUAUUAGGAGGAACACCAGUGGCGAAAGCGGCUUGCUGGACUGCAACUGACACUGAGGCUCGAAAGCGUGGGGAGCAAACAGGAUUAGAUACCCUGGUA